rnacentral:rRNA from 1 species
UGGGGAAUCUUGGACAAUGGGGGCAACCCUGAUCCAGCCAUGCCGCGUGAGUGAUGAAGGCCUUAGGGUCGUAAAGCUCUUUCGCCUGUGAAGAUAAUGACGGUAGCAGGUAAAGAAACCCCGGCUAACUCCGUGCCAGCAGCCGCGGUAAUACGGAGGGGGUUAGCGUUGUUCGGAAUUACUGGGCGUAAAGCGCACGUAGGCGGACCAGAAAGUUGGGGGUGAAAUCCCGGGGGCUCAACCCCGGAACUGCCUCCAAAACUAUUGGUCUAGAGUUCGAGAGAGGUGAGUGGAAUUCCAAGUGUAGAGGUGAAAAUUCGUAGAUAUUUGGAGGAACACCAGUGGCGAAGGCGGCUCACUGGCUCGAUACUGACGCUGAGGUGCGAAAGUGUGGGGAGCAAACAGGAUUAGAUACCCUGGUAGUCCACACCGUAAAACGAUGAAUGCCAGUCGUCGGGUAGCAUGCUAUUCGGUGACACACCUAACGGAUUAAGCAUUCCGCCUGGGGAGUACGGUCGCAAGAUUAAAACUCAAAGGAAUUGAC